CCAAUAGCGUAUAUUAAAGUUGUUGCAGUUAAAAAGCUCGUAGUUGAAUUUCGGGAUCAAUUUGCUGGUCGUGCCUCAGGUACGUACUGGUAUUAUUGGUUUCUCCCUUCUGACUAGCCAUGAUGUCAUUAAUUUGGUGUCGUGGGGAAUCAGGACUGUUACUUUGAAAGAAUUAGAGUGUUUAAAGCAGGCAUAAGCUUGAAUACAUUAGCAUGGAAUAAUGAAAUAGGACGUUUGAUCCUAUUUUGUUGGUUUCUAGGAUCGACGUAAUGAUUAAUAGGGAUAGUUGGGGGCAUUAGUAUUCAAUUGUCAGAGGUGAAAUUCUUGGAUUUAUUGAAGACUAACUACUGCGAAAGCAUUUGCCAAGGAUGUUUUCAUUAAUCAAGAACGAAAGUUAGGGGAUCGAAGACGAUCAGAUACCGUCGUAGUCUUAACCAUAAACUAUGCCGACUAGGGAUCGGAUGAUGUUAAUUUUUUAAUGACUCAUUCGGCGCCUUACG
rnacentral:rRNA from 1 species